ensembl:snRNA U6 U6 spliceosomal RNA
GUGCCGGCUUCAGUAUCACCUAUGCUAAAAUUGCAAUGAUACAGAGAAGAUUAGCUUGGCCCCUGCACAAGGAUGACACACAAAUUCUUGAAGCAUUUCAUAUUUUU